AAUUAUGGAAAAUAACAAAGCUAAAACAAGAAGGGUUGGAAAUUACUAGAUCAUGAAGGGACACUUAGAGAACUAAGUGAUUCGGUGAAACAGGUCAAUAUUUGUAUCAUAGAAGUCCCAGAAGAAAAGCCAGAAAGGGGAGCAGAAGUUUUAUUUGAACAGAUUAUAGCUGAAAAUUUCCCUAAUCUGGAGAAGGAAACAGACAUCCAGAUCCAGGAGGCACAGAGAAUUCCCAUCAAAACCAAUAAAAGCAGGCCAACAUCCAGGCAUACUGUAAUUGAAUUUGCAAAAUAUAGAGAUAAACAAAAAAUUCUAAAGGAAGCAAGAAAAAAGCAGUC